rnacentral:rRNA from 1 species
UACAGAGGGUGCGAGCGUUGUCCGGAAUCACUGGGCGUAAAGGGCGCGUAGGUGGCGUCGCAAGUCGAUGGUGAAAGCUCGGCGCUCAACGCCGAGUCGGCCCCUUGAUACUGCGAGGCUGGAGCACUGUAGAGGCAGAUGGAAUUCCGGGUGUAGCGGUGGAAUGCGUAGAGAUCCGGAAGAACACCGGUGGCGAAGGCGGUCUGCUGGGCAGUUGUUGACACUGAGGCGCGACAGCGUGGGGGAGCAAACAGG